rnacentral:rRNA from 1 species
GACGAACGCUGGCGGCGUGCUUAAUACAUGCAAGUCGAACGCAGUGGGGACGGGUGAGUAACACGUGGGUAACCUCCCAUCAGAGGGGAUAACACUUGGAAACAGGUGCUAAACCGAUACUGAUGGAUGGACCUGCGGUGCAUUAGCUAGUUGGUGAGGUAAGGGCCCACCAAGGCCACGAAGCAUAGCCGACCUGAGAGGGUGAUCAGCCACACUGGGACUGAGACACGGCCCAGACGCCUACGGGAGGCAGCAGUGGGGAAUCUUCGACAAUGGGCGAAAGUCUGACGGAGCAACGCCGCGUGAGUGAAGAAGGUUUUCGGAUCGUAAAACUCUGUUAGUAGGGAGGCGGUAUCUAACGAAGAAGCCACGGCUAACUACGUGCCAGCCGCCGCGGUAAUUC